rnacentral:rRNA from 1 species
GACGAACGCUGGCGGCGUGCUUAACACAUGCAAGUCGAACGGUGAAGCGCCUUCCUUUUUGGUGGGUGUGGAUGAGUGGCGAACGGGUGAGUAACACGUGAGUAACCUGCCCCCUUCUUCUGGAUAACCGCAUGAAAGUGUGGCUAAUACGGGAUAUUCUGGGUCUGUCGCAUGAUGGGUCUGGGAAAGAUAUUGUUUCGGUGGGGGAUGGGCUCGCGGCCUAUCAGCUUGUUGGUGGGGUGAUGGCCUACCAAGGCGGUGACGGGUAGCCGGCCUGAGAGGGUGGACGGUCACACUGGGACUGAGACACGGCGCAGACUCCUACGGGAGGCAGCAGGGGGGAAUAUUGCACAAUGGGCGAAAGCCUGAUGCAGCGACGCAGCGUGAGGGAUGGAGGCCUUCGGGUUGUGAACCUCUUUCGCCAGUGAAGCAGGCCUGCCUUGUUUGUGGGUGGGUUGACGGUAGCUGGAUAAGAAGCGCCGGCUAACUACGUG